rnacentral:rRNA from 1 species
UACGUAGGUGGCAAGCGUUGUCCGGAUUUACUGGGCGUAAAGGGCGUGCAGGCGGUCUGUUAAGUCUAGGGUGAAAGCUCCCGGCUCAACUGGGAGAGGUCCUUGGAUACUGGCGGACUUGAGGGAGGCAGAGGAAAGUGGAAUUCCCGGUGUAGUGGUGAUAUGCGUAGAUAUCGGAAGGAACACCAGUGGCGAAGGCGGCUUUCUGGGCCUUACCUGACGCUGAGACGCGAAAGCGUGGGGAGCGAACCGG